CCUACGGGAGGCAGCAGUGGGGAAUUUUGGACAAUGGCAGCAAGCAAGAUCCAGCCAUGCCGCGUGAGUGAAGAAGGCCUUCGGGUUGUAAAGCUCUUUCGGUGAAGAUGAAACGGUUAGCGCUAAUAACGAUGACUAAUGACAGUAUCACAGAGAGCCUGA
rnacentral:rRNA from 1 species